ACAGCCAUAUCACAUUGAAACACCGGUUAUCGUCCGAUCAUUGAAGUUAAGCAAUGUUAAAUCUGGUCAGUACCUAGAUGGGUGACCGCUUGGGAAUACCAGGAGCUGUAAG